rnacentral:snRNA from 1 species
AUGGAUCCGUAACUUCGGGAAA